AUAUUUUUAAAUUGUUGAAAUUGUUUAAUUUUCAUUUAUUAAUACUUAUUAUAAAAUAUAUAACUUUAAAUUAAGACUUAAAUUUUUAUAAACAUUAUAUUAAGUAUCUAAAUAUAUUAAGUAUUUUAUUUUAGACAUAAAAAUAAACAUAUCAAUAAAUAUUUUAUAAUUAUUAAUUAUGUAAUUAUUAAGAUAUUAAGAAUUAUAAUUAUAAAUUAUAUAAAUUAUG
rnacentral:tRNA from 1 species